rnacentral:rRNA from 1 species
GUGGGGAAUCUUGCGCAAUGGGCGAAAGCCUGACGCAGCCAUGCCGCGUGAAUGAUGAAGGUCUUAGGAUUGUAAAAUUCUUUCACCGGGGACGAUAAUGACGGUACCCGGAGAAGAAGCCCCGGCUAACUUCGUGCCAGCAGCCGCGGUAAUACGAAGGGGGCUAGCGUUGCUCGGAAUUACUGGGCGUAAAGGGCGCGUAGGCGGACAUUUAAGUCAGGGGUGAAAUCCCAGAGCUCAACUCUGGAACUGCCUUUGAUACUGGGUGUCUUGAGUGUGAGAGAGGUAUGUGGAACUCCGAGUGUAGAGGUGAAAUUCGUAGAUAUUCGGAAGAACACCAGUGGCGAAGGCGACAUACUGGCUCAUUACUGACGCUGAGGCGCGAAAGCGUGGGGAGCAAACAGGAUUAGAAACCCGAGUAGUCC